rnacentral:lncRNA from 1 species
ACACACACAGUACAGUCUGGGUAUCAGAGCCACUGUCUCUGAGCCCUGUCAUCAGAUCAGUUGGGGCUUAGUGCUGGGGAGUCAAACAUUGAAACGACACAGAACUGUUGGUGGCAGAAAAACAUGUAAUACAACUGUAGCAUGUGUGUGUGUGUGUGUGCAUUCGUAUGUGUGUGUGUGUGCACACGUGAAAGGAAACACCCCUGGUUUGGAAUGUGCCCAGCCUUUCUGAGCACUGUGUUGUUUUUAUAGUUACAUAUCUCCCAUAGGAUUCACCGGAAUAUGGAAAACAAGACUUAUCCCUGUUUUGUCCUCCUUCUCUCCUUCCUACUUUCCCUCUUUCCUUGUCUGCAGAAAAGCUGUGAAGCAGGCCAACCCCUUCCGUACGACUUCCCUGCAGUCUUCAGUCAAUCCCAUAGUAAGCUCAAAUUCUGUGUACAAAUGAUGCAGCACAAAUUGAUAUCUGCAGGAUAACAAGGAAAGAAAAUGUGUGUUUGGAGACGUAGAGAGAUGGUUGUUGAAGAGAUGGUAAAGCUGUAAUAACAGCAGGUACGUGGAGACGUAGAGAGGUGGUUGUUGAAGAGAUGUUAAAGCUGUAAUAACAGCGGGUACGUGGAGACGUAGAGAGGUGGUUGUUGAAGAGAUGUUAAAGCUGUAAUAACAGCAGGUACGUGGAGACGUAGAGAGGUGGUUGUUGAAGAGAUGAUAAAACUGUAAUAACAGCAGGUACGCGACGUUACAACCCUGUCAUCAGAUGUAAAGUCCAGCUCUGCUAACAAAUCAGGUCCCAACAGGCCUCAGCUGGUCUGGGCACAUAGCUUCAGCUCAGACUUUGGCCUAGAGCCAGCUUUGGUCUGUGUUACAAAGGGUUCCAAGCAUGAUCAUUGAUAUGUUUUCCUCAUCACGUAGUGUUUAUAGAAUACACGGAAAUGUCUGCGUCUGUAUUGUAGAUGGAACACGUUUGCUGAUUCCUUACGGUAUAGAACAGCAGGUUGCCUCGCUGCACCAAUAAAUGCCUGCUUUGAUGCUAAGCAUGGAAGUUCUCUUCUUCAUCUGAUUAUUACCACAUCUCAAUCUGCCAAACCUUCUGGUUAAAUAGCACC